AAAUACUGUCUGUGAGUACUGCGUUAAAAACAAAUCUGAGGGCCGGGUGUGUUGGCUCAAUCCUGUGGUCCUAGCAUUUUGGGAGGCCGAGGCAGGAGAGUUGCUCAAGCUCAGGAGUUCGAGAACAGCCUAGACAACAUGGACAGUGAGCUGGACAACAUUGCUUCAUUAUUUCAGCUGCUUGUGAAGGAGGGGGGAGGGGCCAAGAUGGCCGAAUAGAAACAGCUCUGGUCUACAGCUCCCAGCGUGAGCAACUCAGAAGAUGGGUGAUUUCUGCAUUUGCAACUGAGGUCAUGAGGAUGGAGUUCUCAUGAAUGAGAUGACUGCCCUUGUAGAACAGACUCAAGAGAGACUCUUGCUCCUUACAUCAUGUGAAGACACAGAAAGAAGGUAUCAUCUAUGAAUCAGGAAACCGUUCCUUGAUCUUGGACUUCCCAGUCUCCAGAACUGUGAGAAAUAAAUGUCUCUGGUUUAUAAGCCACUUCAUUUAUGGUAUUUUCUUAUAGCAACCUGAACAGACUAAGACAAAGGAUAACUUGCUUUACUCAAAGUCUGCCUAUGUAAAUGUUAGUCUUAUCUAAAAAAUAUCUUCACGGCAACAUCUAGACUGGUAUUUGACCAAAUAUCUGGAUAUCAUGGCUUUGCCAAGUUGACAUAUAAAUUUAACUAUCACAAGUCCACCCUUUGUCAACUUGGCAUUGGUAUACAUAUCCUUAAACUUUACAUACUUAAUCUCCAAAUAGAAAUAAAUAACAAUGUCGUAUUUCCUCCUAACAUGAUACAACCAUCCUGCAUACAACCUGAAAUGCAUAACCUUUUUUUCCAGAAAAGGAUACAGAGUGCUUGGGUGAUGUUCACUCUUCUCCUUAAUAUCUUGUAACUUAAAUAUUAUAAUAUUAAGCUAGCAAUACUU
rnacentral:lncRNA from 10 species